rnacentral:miRNA from 1 species
GGUCUCGCUAUAUAGUUCAGGCUGGCCUUGAACUCACUUUGUAGACCAGGCUGGCCUUGGACUCAAAAUCCUCCUGUUUCAGCCUCCUGAGUGCUGUGAUUACAGGCAUGCACCACCAUGCC